CUUCUCUGUAAAUAUACAGCAGUCCAAAGAAAGACUUUAUUCCUCUAUCCAGCCAAACUGUUUCCAAUGCAAACAACCCCUCAUCUUACCAGGAUGUCUGCUGCCUGCAGAAUGAGUUGAGCUGCUAUGGAGACCAGACAACUGCCGACCACUACCAGGUACUGCAGCUCCUCCAGAUGAGCCAACGUCUGACAGAGGAGGCUAGCACAAGAGGAUCUGCAGGACAGAAGAGUUUCAACAGUGGCAGAAUCAUUCACAGACCUAUUCAGCAAACCUGGAGAUGGAAAGGAGGAGAGACCUGAGGUUUAGUCUGGAAUGACUGUAGAGAGAAGGUGAGCAUGUGCACUACAAGCUGAUUGGCAGCUGAAGCCACAAACAGGCUGGGGUCUCCCUGCAGAGUGAAGAU